GCAGACUGAGAACUCAUGUGCAGAAAUUAGAAUUUUCAGUUCCCUGGAACUGGAAUACCCAGAAUGAAGACGAAGGACUCUGUACGCAUUAUGAUGUCCACUGCCAACUACGAACUGCCACUGGCAACACAUUCCGUUCCAGUUGGGAAAAGGGAUCAAGGAGAAAAAAACACUAUCCAAAAGCAGAGGACAAACUGAGGGAAUAGAAACACCAGGGAAAAGCAACUGCCUG
rnacentral:lncRNA from 1 species